rnacentral:tRNA from 1 species
GCCAGGCUAGCUCAGUCGGUAGGGCAUGAAACUCUUAAUCUCAAGGUCGUGGGUUUGUGUCCCAUGUUGGACA